UGGAGCCUCUCAGAAACAUAUGGACUUCCCUGUUGUUUGGUUCCUAAAAGAAGAAGGUGUGUUUGAAUAACAGUCGAGAUAUGGCAAGCAAUGUGUGAGCUCUCAUCCUGGAUUUUAAUAGAAAAAGAAUGGAUUUUCUGUCCUCAGAGGAACACAGAAAGCUGGAAACUUUCUCCAGUGCCCAUGUGUUGGAGACUCUUCCCCAUCUUUUCAUCUAUUAGUGUAGUGCCCAUCUCGACCAGCAAGGAAGACACAUCACCGUUGGAUUCUUCUCAACAGCCUUUAUUGCAGGAAAACCUCAUUCUUGAUGAGGGGGGCCCCGGGGGAAAAAGGCACUCCCCCUAAAUACAAGAAAGGCUGUGGUUGUAAAUUUGUCCUCCGGGGAUUGGUGGAGUAUGAAAUACCUUAUUAGCGUG
ensembl:lncRNA